rnacentral:rRNA from 1 species
UACGUAGGUGGCAAGCGAUGCUCGGAAUCACUAGGCGUAAAGCGCAGGUAGGCGGUUUGGUAAGUCUUUUGUGAAAGCCCCGGGCUCAACCUGGGAAUGGCGAUGGAUACUGGCGAGCUAGAGUGCGGUAGAGGAGAGUGGAAUUCCCGGUGUAGCAGUGAAAUGCGUAGAGAUCGGGAGGAACAUCAGUUGCGAAGGCGGCUCUCUGGACCAGCACUGACACUGAGGCACGAAAGCGUGGGGAGCAAACAGG